rnacentral:rRNA from 1 species
GGUUAAGUUAGAAAGGGCGCACGGUGGAUGCCUUGACACUAGGAGUCGAUGAAGGACGGGACUAACGCCGAUAUGCUUCGGGGAGCUGUAAGUAAGCUUUGAUCCGAAGAUUUCCGAAUGGGGAAACCCACCAUACGUAAUGGUAUGGUAUCCUUAUCUGAAUACAUAGGGUAAGGAAGACAGACCCAGGGAACUGAAACAUCUAAGUACCUGGAGGAAGAGAAAGCAAAUGCGAUUUCCUGAGUAGCGGCGAGCGAAACGGAACAUAGCCCAAACCAAGAGGCUUGCCUCUUGGGGUUGUAGGACAUUCUAUACGGAGU